UGGCUGAAGGUAGGAUGGAGGAAAGCUGCUUAAUUCUUGGUGGCCAGGGAACAAAGUAAGUUGGGAAGACCACAACAGGAAGCAUUUUCUCUUUCUGCCCAGGGCCCAUUUCAUAUUUCCUGAGACACUUUACGGCAUGUAGAGAGCCUCACUCAGUGCAGCAAGAAACUGAGAGGAUCAACCCAGUCCUUCCAAGUUAAGAUAUAAUAUUCAAUGUCACCUGUCAAGGAGUUCUGAAACAGUGAUGGAAUCUUCACUUUCCCACGAUUACAGUGCCAACUGAAAUAAAAUAGAACUUAUAUUCAGUCAUGCAAGUCACGUGUGCAAAAGACUGUCCACAAUUGGUGACACAGGGUUGUUUCACAUAAACAUUAUUGACACUCAAAAGAUCAAAUGUGCAGGAAAGCUGUGGGUAAACUAGGCCACCGAUGUGUAGACUUUGUUCUCUCAGUGGAACUUCCACAGCUGAUUGAAGUGGGAUGCAUUUCCCGGCUGAUCUGGUUUAACAGAAAAGUGCAAAAUCACAUUUUGGUCUGUUGGAUUUCACAUGCUUCUGAAUGCAGCUCAAGAUCAUCAGUCAAAAAUCCCUUUGGCCAAUGAGAGUAGCAAAUUCCAAGGCAGUAUAAUGGAUAAUAAAGUACAUUUCCAAGCAUAUUUUCUAAUAAACAUUGAGAAUAAAUAACAAGGAAAA